rnacentral:rRNA from 1 species
CACGGGGGGAGCAAGCGUUGUUCGGAAUCACUGGGCGUAAAGGGCGUGCAGGCGGUCAGGUAAGUGGGAUGUGAAAUGCCCCGGCUCACCCGGGGACCGGCAUCUCAUACUGCUUGGCUUGAGUACGGGAGAGGAUGUGGGAAUUCCUGGUGUAGCGGUGAAAUGCGUAGAUAUCUGGAGGAAUACCGGUGGCGAAGGCGGCAUCCUGGACCGAUAUUGACACUGAUGAGCGAAAGCCAGGGGAGCAAACGGG